rnacentral:lncRNA from 1 species
GAACUGAGCCGUUGGAUAAAUUCUCAGGAAAAUGACUGAUUAAGGGGGAAGGGCAGGUCUGUGUGAGAGUGGGGCUGACAGUCUUCUAAAGAAGGGGAGAGAGGACUCAAUCAGAUGCCAACCCCAGCCUGGGGAAAGAGGAAGAAGAUGCGAAUGAUAAUGAAAUUGUGGCUGCGGUGAGUCACUUAGCUUCUUGGGACAGGGUGCUAUCAUGGAGUGAGAAGAAAGAAGGCUGAGAAGAAAAGGCAGAGAGCCAUCCUGGUAUCUUCAUGCACAAAGGCCCAAGGCAGGAGCACUGGAGAGGAACUGGGAGGCCUAAUAAGAGGGCAGGGUGUGGGGGCUUCAGGAAGAUGGCAGGUGCUGCACACCGGUGUUCAUUAUUUCAGAAAGUGGCUGGAUAAAGCUUAAGACGGAUGUUAAAAUGGGUGUGUUCUGCCUUCAUCUAGUCACAGACAAGAGAAUGCCAUCUGCUCUGAUAUCCCAAAGUAAGAUGGAAAUUUCUAGAGAAUAUGACUCAGAAAAAUGAGAGACUAAAUCAAGACAGAGGAAAAUAUCAGAUCCAGUACAUAACAGAAGAACUGACAACUGACACUGAGGAAAGGAUUUUGGAUGGAUUUUAGAGCCACACAUUCCUGGAUUCAAAGCCCGGCUCCAAUAUAUUCCAUCAAAGGUGCAAGGAGGACAGAGAGAAGACUUUACUAGCCUAAUGACUGAGGAUGAAAUUAAAAGAAAAAUUAUUUCAGGAACCCCUGCCAAAAGGGAGCUGUCCUUGGCCAAGAGGGAUGCUCCUUGCCUGGAAUGCUGCACUCUCACUACUUCCUGGGGGCAGACAUAGCCAAUGACUGAGGGACAGAAAUGUACAAAGGCUAGUCCUUUGUCUGAAGAUGAGAAUCCUGUGGCUCGGAGAGGCGAUACAACUUGCCUGAAAGCACAAAGCUAUGAAGCAAAGGCAUUCUGAUUAUAGAGUCACGCUAUUGUACAUUAUAUGGCCUCCAAAUUGAGCACCCUGCUAGGAUUCAAAAUAUGAGUGGGAGAUGCAGACAUCUUCUUGUGAUUUAAGCACCUUAUCUUUCAUUUAGAGGCACACAUGAUUAGACUCUGUGGUGUAAAUUAAUUCAAACAAAUUGGAGGAACUGAUGUUACAAACGUAAACAAGGUUCUCAUUAAAAUCUCCCUCAUUAAUUGUUUUUAUGGUGGCUGUUUGGUUUUUGUAGCCCUUACACAUGUUCUUGCAUUUAUAUUUCAGGUUCAGAUGAAGCUCAGACUGAAGCUGUAAUAAUGCUCUUGCCUACUAGGAAACAGCAGUUGGUAAUGCAUUCCUGGAUGUUCUUUUGAUAGUUCUUUCAUGGAGGAUAAACAUGUUACCUGGAGCAAGGAUUUGCAUCUCAAGAUUUCUACCACUGAGGGGAGCAUUGAGGGUAGAUGGAGCUCAGUUCAAAGAUAGCUGUAAAAUAUUAGCAUAUAACUAAUUUUAAGAAGCUAAAAUUUCUUUAUUACAGUGUAUUUGCU